UCCACUAGCCCCUCACACCUCCCCCUGCAGGAAGCCUCCUGGCACAGGGAUUUCACCCUCUGUUCCUUCCUCUCUGUUGUCCCUCUACCUGGAGCUCCCAUCCUGGUCUCACUCGACUUUGCCCUUCACGAGAAUGUUUCGCGAGAAUCCCAAGGGUAUCCUUCCCACGCCCAUGGCCGUGGUGUUCCUAAGGCUUCUGGAAGGUAGGACCCUGUCUGCUUUCCUCGGUUUCUCCAGCAGCCUGGGGCCAGGAGAAGGGCAGCACUACGAGAAAGAAGGGGAAUGGGAAAGCCAUUUGCUUCCUUAAAGAUGGCGGGAAGCUGUUUGAAUUAUAUCGGUCAGCCAUCACCGGAGGGGGCAGAUUUGUGAGUUUUUCCCCAAAGAGAGCUUUCUUUUUUCUUUUUUUUUUUGUUUUUCAACUUUUAUUUUCAGCUCAGGAGGUACAUGCGCAGGUUUGUAACAUGGGUAAAGUGCGUGUCACUGGGGUUUGAUGUACAAAUGGUUUCGUUACCGGGGUAGUGAGCAUACUACCUGAUACGAAGUUUGUUGAUGCUCACUCUCCUCCCAGCCUCCACCCUCAAGUAGGCCCGGUGUCUGUUAUUCCCCUCUGUGUCCAUGGGGACUUCAUUUAUAAAGUGAGAUAAAUAAGAACGUGUGGCGUGAGCCACUGCGCCUGGCCCCACAUAUAUCUCUUGUACCACAAUGAUAAUAAUAGUAAUAGCUUACACAUACCUAGCACUUUACAAAGAGUGUCUACAUGCCUGUGUAUCUGAUAACUGCUAAAAAGAAGGAAUUAAUAUUUGUUGAGCAGAAAUGAUUGAAUACAUGCAGCAAAGCCAGCCCCUCAUUUUCCUCAAACAACACUUUUAAUUUAUGUAGUGAUAGGAAGUUUUUAGGGAGAUGAAGUGAAAACUCAAUUAAAAGUCAGGAGUCCUGAGUUUGACCUUAUUUCCUUAUUUAUAAAACUGGGACGUGACCUAUUCUUGCCUUUUCCACAAUGAGAUAUGCUAUUCUGACCAGCACAGAUGAUAUGAUUUUGUAGAAACUCUCCCCCAUUAUAAAAUUAUAAAUUAUUGAAUUAUAAAGCAACAACAAAGACAGAAUGGCUUUAAUGCAGAGAUAGUCAAAUUGACCAAAGGAAUGGGAGGAAAUAUCUUGAAAAGGACCCAGGCUACUUGUGGUAGCUCACGCCUGUAAUCUCAGCAUUUUGGGAGGCCAAGGCAGGAGGAUCACUUGAGCCCAGGAGGAGGAGACCAGCCUGGGCAGUGUGGCAAAACCUUGUCUCUACAAAAACUCAGAAAACUUAGCUGGGCAUGGUGGGACAUGCCUGUAGUCCCAGCUAAUCAGGAGGCUGAGGUGGGAGGAUCACUUGAGCCCAGGAGGUUGAGGCUACAGUGAGUCAUGAUCACACCACGCUACUCCAGCCUGAAUGUCAGAGUGAGACCUUGUCUGGAAGAAAAAGACUCACAUGUAUAUCUUUUCAUCCAAAGAUAUUGUAAAGAAAGCAGAAGGCCAACCCGCAAACUGAAAGAAGAUAUCUGCAUCCACAUAACUGACAAUGGACUAGUGCUGUGGUUUGAAAGUCCUCUGCAAAACACUUGGGGAAAUUAUUUAUUUUUGUUUUAUUAUUAUUAGUAGUAGUAGUAUUAGAGUCAGAGUCUUGCUGUGUUGCCCAGGCUGGAGUGCAGUGGUGCAAUCAAAGCUCACUAAAACCUUGAACUUCUGGGUUCAAGUGAUCCUCCUGGCUCAACCUCCUGAGUAGCUGGGACCAAAGCCAUGUGCCACCAUGCCUGGCUAAUUUUUUAUUUUCUGUAGUGAUGGAGUCUCACUGUGUUGCCCAGGCUAGUCUUGAACUCCUGGCCUCAAGCAGUCCUUCUGCCUUGUUCUCCCAGAGUGCUGGGAUUGCAGGCAUGAGCCACCACACCUGGCCUUCACGUUGAAAUUUAAUUGCAUUGUGGUAGUAUUAAGAGGUGGAACCUUUAAGAGGCAAUUAGUUAAUGAGUGAUCUGUCCUCAUAAAUGUAUUAAUGACAUUACUGGGGGAGUGGGUUAGUUAUCAUGGGAGUGGGUUUGUGAUAUAAGGGUGAAGUUCAGCUCCCAUCUGUUCUUGUUCUUGCACCUUCCACCAUGGGAUGAGACAGCAUGAAGGCCCUCAUGUGCCAGAUCCUGUGCCAUGCUUUUGGACUUCACAGCCUUCAGAACUAUAAGCCUAAAAAACUUCUAGUGUUUAUACAUUAGUCAAUCUGUGGUAUUGUUAUAGCAUCAGAAAACAAACUAAGACAACUAGUAUUGAGAAUAUAGAAAGAUUUCCUACAAAUAAAUAAGAAAAAGAGCACUCUAUAAUACAGUGAAUAAAAAACUUGAGCAAACAUUUCACAGAUGAGAUAUGAACAACCAAUAAACAUUUGAAAAGGUGCUCAAAUUUCUUAGAAAUUAGGAAAUACAAAAUAAGUCCACAACACUUUUAUACUCACUUGUGUUGUGGAAGUCAGGAACCCCAAACUGAGGGACUGGCUGAAGCCAUGGCAGAAGAACAUAAAUUGUGAAGAUUUCAUGGACAUUUAUUAGUUCCCCAAAUUAAUACUUUUAUAAUUUCUUAUGCCUGUCUUUACUGCAGUCUCUGAACAUAAAUUGUGAAGAUUUAAUGGACAUUUAUCACUUCCCCAGUCAAUACUCUUGUGAUUUCCUAUGCCUGUCUUUAAUCUCUUAAUCCCGUCAUCUUUGUAAGCUAGGAUGUAUGUCGCCUCAGGACCCUGUGAUGAUUGCGUUAACUGCACAAAUUGUUUGUAGAGCAUGUGUGUUUGAACAAUAUGAAAUCUGGGCACCUUAAGAACAGGAUAAAAGCGAUUUUCAGGGAACAAGGGUUAGAUAACCUUAAAGUCUGGCUGCCUGUGGGCCGUGCGGGACAGAGCCAUAUUUCUCUUAUUACCAAAAAUGGGUAAGAGAAAUAUCGCUGAAUUCUUUCCUCAGUAAGGAAUAUUAAUAAUUAACAGCCCUGGGAAAAGAAUGCAUUCCCAGGGCCGGGCCUCUAAAAUGGCCACCCUGGGAGUAUCUGCCUUAUGCAGAUGUAGAUAGGGAUGAAAUGCGCCCUAGUCUCCUGCAGCGCCCCCAGGCUUGCUAGGAUUAGGAAAUUCCAGCCUGGCAAAUUCUAGUCAGACCGGUUCUCUGUUCUUGAACCUUGACAAUGCGUGCACAGCAGGACAUGGAAGUUCAUUAGUGAUUCUGGUUUCACCCUGACCUUUUGCCUUGUGAUCUUUUGUUGCCCUUGAAGCAUGUGAUCUCUGUGACCCACACCCUAUUCGUGCACUCCCUCCCCUUUGAAAAUUGCUAAUAAAAACUUGCUGGUUUUAUGGCUCAGGGGGCAUCACGGAACCUGCCGACAUGUGAUGUCUCCCCCAGACACCCAGCUUUAAAUUUUCUCUCUUUUGUACUCUUCCCCUUUAUUUCUCAGACUGGCGGGCACUUAGGGAAAAUAGAAAAUAACCCACGUGAAAUAUCGGGGGCUGAAUUUCCCCCAAUACUUGAACAGCAAAAAUUUAAGUCUAUCAUGUGUUGGUGAGGUCAAAGAGCAUGUCUUGCGAGUGGGAAUGUCAUUGGUACUACCACUUGGAAAACCAUUUGGAAUUACCUUGUAAUGUAAUGCCCAACCUUGUUUCUUCCUUUAUUCACCUAGCCUUGUUUCUCCCUUAGCUAAGAGAACCAGACAAACUCCAUUUUGGCUCUUUCACUGGCAGCCCCUUCCUCAAGGACUUAACUUGUGCAAGCUGACUCCCAGCACAUCCAAGAAUGCAAUUAACUGAUAAGAUACUGUGGCAAGCUAUAUCCACAGUCCCCAAGAAUUCAUCUGAUUGACAACGCCCAAAGCCCCUAGUCUAUCACCUUGUAAUAGUCUUAAAGCCCCUGCACCUGGAACUGUUUACGUUCCUAUAACCAUUUAUCCUUUUAACUUUUUGACUACUUAACUUCUGGAAAAUUGUUCUAAGUAGACCCCCCCCUCAUCUUCCUAAACCAAGGUAUAAAAGUUAAUCAAGCCCCUUCCUCGGGGCCGAGAGAAUUUUGAGCGUUAGCCGUCUCUCGGUCGCCGGCUAAGGCUAAUAAAGGACUCUUAAUUUGUCUCAAAGUGUGGCGUUCUCUCUAACUCGCUCAGGUACAACAGUAUGAUACAUUGAAGAUGGCCACAUUUUCUGAUGCUGUUCCCAUUGAGAGGUUGAGUCCCUUCUCCUUAAAUGUGGGCUGGUCUUAGGGACUUCUUGGCCAAUAGAAUGCAGCAGAAGUAGCCGGGUGCAGUGGCUCAUGCUUGUAAUCCCAGCACUUUGGGAGGCUGAGGCAGGUGGAUCACGAGGUCAGGAGUUCGAGACCAGCCUGGCCAACAUGGUGAAACCCCGUCUCUACUAAACAUAAAAAAAUUGUCCGGGUGUUGUGGCACAUGCCUGUAGUCCCAGAUACUUGGGAGGCUGAGGCAGGAUAAUCGCUUGAACCCGGGAGGCGGAGGCUGCGGUGAGCUGAGAUCACACCACUGCACUCCAGACCGGGUGAUGGAGCAAGACUCCGUCUCAGAAAAAAAAAAAAAAAAAUGCAGCAGAAGUAACACUCUGGGACAUCAAAUGCUAGGUCAGAAGAAGCCUGCAGUUUCUGUCUGUUUAGGUCUCUUGGAACACUUGUUCUUGGAGCCUAGCCACCAUGCUGUCAGGAAGCCCACACAGUCCCAGAGAGAGGCUCCCUUGCCAGCCAGUACCAACUUGUAGUCAUGUGAGGAUCCUGGAAGUUGGAUCCUCCAAUUGACAGUUCAUCCUGGGAGCAGAUGAAACAUACCUGCUAAUCUCUGCCCAAAUACCAGACCCUUGAGCAAAAUAAAUGACUUUUAUUGUUUUUUAAGCUAUGUAAUUUUUAAAAAAUAACUUUAUGUUAUAACUUACAUACCAUAGAAUUCAACCAUAUAAGUGUACACUUGGGUGAUCUUUAGUACGUUUUAAAAGUUGUGCAACCAUUACCAC
rnacentral:lncRNA from 1 species